GCUUGUACUAGAUCUAACAUGCCAAGAAUCAAAUCCUAAGUAAUAGCAACUUGCUAAGACAUGUAUGUGUGUAUCCAAAAGAUCAACCUUCCUAUGUAUACUACCUUGUCCUAAUUAUUAAUCCCUGCCAAUCUGUAGCAAACAUUGAGUGAUUGAUGUUUAUAAUCUACUCACAAGUAAUUAUUUUUGGAGUUUCACUGCCAUUGUUUACUUCUAUAUGGUGUUCAAGGAUGAGUAGCACUAGUUAGGAACAACAUUUAGAUCUAAUCAGUAGCAAUACCAUGACCACACCAUAGAUUAAAUCUUGAUUAAUUUCAUGGCCUUGAGAUAAACAAAGAGAAAGAAGGCAAUAUGGUUCAGAGGGGAAUAGUAGGGCCUGAGAUAAAACAAACAAUAUAUGCACACCCACGUUCAUAUAUAGUAGGAACUUGUUGUGAAAUUUGGAGGACUUCAUGGAGAAGGAAUCAGGAUUAGUACUUACCAGUAGUAGCAGUAGGAUGUGGCUAGUCCACACCGUUAGCAGCAAAGCCAUGGCAACCGAGCAGCGCCGGUGAAGCCGCAUGUGCCCGACGCCCGUGGCUGCACGCCUUGUGCGUGUGGCUGCACUAGGGGGAGGAUGUAGGCAUGGAGACAUCGUUGCCGCUGCAGCCGGUGGCAAGCCCACCAGACCUGGAUCGGGCGGCGCUAGGAUUGAGUGGUGGCGGCGUUUUUGGCGGUGGCCGAUCAAAUAAAUAGGGGGAAAUGGUAGAGGGAGACGAGGGGAAUCUAUAGGUGUCCGCCAUGUCGCCGGAGAUGCCCGUACGGGGCAGAUCGAGGCGACGGCGGCCGUGCUCUGUUCUUGGGGGAGAGAGAGGUGAGCGGGCUGGUUCUGUUCGUGGGACAUCAGAGAAGUUGAGUAGUCUUUCUGGAUAGACACGGCUUGGGCUUAACCAGCGAAGUACUAGUAGUACAGUACUAGGCUACUGUUUCCUUUUACUUAUCAUUUCUUUUACCACUCUCUGGACUGGAUGACAUACGUGCAUGCUACUCUGAUUUGGAUGGCUUAGAUGCAUUUUAUAUCUCAAUGAAACACUAGGACGUAUUAGUACCUAGUUAAUUAAUUAUGGCUUCCCCAACAUGGCCGUGUUGCUGGAUGUUUAGAUUUUAAUUAGGCAUUAUAAACAUGUUUGUGAAAUAAUUAUCAGGAGUCGAUCUCGGACUCGUAGGAGUCGCAUCUGGUGAUUUCGAGUUGGUCGAAGCACUAUCCGGCAAGUCAUCAUCUCCUUGACCAUGUCUUGAUAAAUGUUUUCUGGGCUAUGGGUCAUUUCUAAAAGUUUGCAUAAGAAUUAAAAAUAAAUAUUUUUCAUAAAUGAAAUGAGAUUUGGAUCAGGUGGAUCCACUAAUUUGGCAAUUGGACCAGAUCAGGUGAAGUAUCUGUAUUAAGUAGUUGUGACCCGGGCAGGGCUACAUUAUAAAUAAAUAUUUGGUGGGUAGGGGAGCUUAUGUUGGUGAAGGCAACCUGGGUAGGGUUGGCUUGGAUGGCGGGCUCCUCUACAUAGGGUAUCACAUUAGGACACAACCAACUGAUGCUUACUUCAAAAGCGGCGCAAAUCGUACUGACCAUAGACCUGGAAUGGGACGGGCUGAACCGACUACCCAUGCCAAGUAGCUGCCUCUGCAUGGGUGAGAAGGUGGCUGUAGCCGGGUAGGUACAGUCACCCUAGGGCGGGACCGCCGGUCAAGGGUCUCGACCUGCGGGCCUUUAGUAAGGCAAGGUGGAAAUGCAGAGGUAGUGUACGGGCUGGUUAAAGGUUCUGGUUCCUUGGUCUAGUCGUGCGCACGGGUAGCGCAUGGACGACUUGUACCAAGUGAUGCUAUGGGCAAAGCAGUACACCUCUGAUCAGAGUAAAUGUGAUAUCACUCCCAGCUUCCGGGAUUGGAAGUGCGUCGUGUGGGUUUUCCUCUAACACAUGAUGCAAGAUCCCACGUCACUCUGUCACCAGUAGAUUUUAUGAAUAAAAUUUGGUUUUCAACAAAAUGGGUUAAGGGAAAAUAUUUUUACCUACAUAGUAUUUUGAGAUAAUGGCUCGGUGGUGGUAGCCGUGGCCGAUGAAGUUUUUCCUCUUUAAAAACUCAUACAUUCACUUUUCCCGGCGACUUGCGGAGUACAUAUUUUAUAUGUACUCAGCUGCACUUAUGUUGUUUUUCAGAGCAAGAGAGUUAUGAGAACUCUGAGGCGAUAGAGAAUGGUACUUAUGAUGAGUCUAGUCAUUUUAAUGACUUUGGUUAUACUAAGGUGGAGUAUGAUUAUGAGGAAGUCGACAAUCAAGGCUAUGAAGAGUAGAUGCCCUCCAUGGUUGGUCGAAAAGGCUCGUACUAUAAGUGGUGACGAUAUAUCAUCAUGGCCGCUUAGGCUUAGUCCACACUUGAGGUGUCUAUGUAAUAAAAGCUUGCCUACUCAUGGCAGCUGUUCCACUUGUACAUGACACUGUUCUCCUUAACUGAUCCUGGCGCAACUCUGAAGUGACGGCUUCCGUUACGCCUGACUCUGUUGGAUGUAAUGGGGCAUCACAAAAGAGGUGGUAUCAGAGCAACGUUAAGGAAACAAUCAUGUAUUUGGUUAGAGACAGUCUGAGCCCUAGGAAAGAUAGGUUCCCUCCUUGCCUAAAAUAAAUUAAAAGUUUUCUCAAAAAAAUGACUCAAGUCAAUUGAAGAUUAAAUAAUUUAGACCACACAAUUGUGCAACAAAAAUGUGUUUAUUUAUUUAUUUACUAUCCUUGGUAAAAUUAAUUUUACACUGCGUUAUAACUAACUACAUUCUUAAAUUGCUCAAUGUAGGAUGACGAGUGGUAGGAUGUUUGGUACGGGUGCUGAGUAUGGUGGUUUUGCUCUGUUCUUGGUUGAGCUUCUUGGUCUUCUAGGUGUGUUGAUUGCACCGUACUACACAGUGUUUCACGACCCGUGUUCCACGGGGUACUUAGUCACAGUGCACAUUCCUGAGAGCUUAGAUGUCCCUUCUAGGUACAGUGUUGCCCGUUACAACUUUGUUUCAGCACUUCAGGGUGCGGCACGAGAUGCCGCUUUACACCUUUUCCACGCCUACCACUCUCUCCUUCAGUACGUGGGCAGAGGCGAGUGGCCUCAUUAGCUAGAGGAGGCAGGGAGUUCUUAUGCACCUACGCCCAUUGUCGCUCCUUCACCUUUUGCGUCCACUUCCACUUUCCCUCCACUUUCACCAUGUCCUCCUAUUUUACCUCCCACAUUUUUACCACCACCAGCUUCGACUGCCGCUCGUCCACCUCUGUACCCGACAGUCCCACCCAAUCGUGCAGACCACCCAGCUCGUAGAGUCAUCAGGGGUUCCUCCUCUCACGCAAUGUCACGUCCCUCCACACCGUACGAGCGUCCACCUGCACCUCAGCUUGUUCAGGACCUAUUAGAUCAGGUUGCCACUCUUCAGAGGCGCUGUUCCGAGCUUGAGCGGGCGAACAUCGAGAUGUCCACUGCGUUGAGGGACUACACCCGUCCGGGUAUGGCCCUCAACCCUCUUCAGAUCAACAGCUCACCUUCCGCCUCUCCAGGUCGGGUAGGGUACCCGAUUGACCAGGAGUCUCUUGUCGCCGACGAGCCUUCCUCUCAGGUUGCUCCUUGUCGGUGUCAAAACCGGCGGAUCUCAGGUAGGGGGUCCCGAACUGUGCGUCUAGGCCGGAUGGUAACAGGAGGCAAGGGACAUGCAGUUUUACCCAGGUUCGGGCCCUCUCGAUGGAGGUAAAGCCCUAUUUCCUGCUUGAUUAAUAUUGAUGAUAUGGGUAGUACAAGAGUAGAUCUACCACGAGAUCGAAUAGGCUAAACCCUAGAAGCUAGCCUAUGGUAUGAUUGUUGAUAUGUAUGUUGUCNNNNNNNNNNNNNNNNNNNNNNNNNNNNNNNNNNNNNNNNNNNNNNNNNNNNNNNNNNNNNNNNNNNNNNNNNNNNNNNNNNNNNNNNNNNNNNNNNNNNGACGGAGCGGUGCGGCGGGGCGGCGCAGCGCGGCGGCGACGAAGGCGGCGGCGGCACUAGGGCGGUGGGGCUGGGGCGCUAGGGUAUGGGAGGUCCUGGGCUGGGCUCCCCGGCUUAUAAAGCCUGGACGGGCCUAGUGUCCGGGUCAGACACGGCCCGUAGGUCAGCUGCGUUUUUUUAAUAAAUAGUUACACUCAGAAAAAAGGACAAAUGGAAUACUAAACGGACUCCAAAAAUUCCGAAAUAAAUUUUCCCCGACUUCUAAAAUCAAGCCGCACAAGAUGAACAUUUAUUUGGGGCCUAAAUGCAAUUUUGAAAAACGUGCAUUUUUCCUAAAUUCAAAUAAAACCAAAAUAAAUAUUAUUUGAUUUUUUAUUAAAUCCUCAAUAUUUCUUUAUUUUGGGAAAGUCAUUUUAUUCCCUCUCUCAUAUUUUUUUGUAAUAGAAAUAAUUAAAGAUAAAAUAAAUAAAAUCAAAAGAUCCUAUUUUCAAAAUUUGAAACAACUCAAAUAUGAAAAUAACGAAAUUCCCAACUCUCUCCAAGGGUCCUUGAGUUUGGAAAAAUUUCUAGGAUCAACCAAAAUGCAAUAAAUAUGAUAUGCAAUGAUGAUCUACUGUAUAACAUUCCAAAUUAAAAAUUUGAGAUGUUACAGGGAAAGGAUGUAAAAACCAUAAAAUAAUAAUAAUAAUAAAUAAAUAAAUAAAUUAGAUAACGAUAAUUUCAACAGCGUUGCCUAAACAUUAAUUAAAAUAAUAGAAACAACUACUUUUAAUAUAUUUUUACAGGAAAUAGCAUUUAGUCAUACACAACAAUUCUUCUACAAACCUCCCUAUAUUUUAUAGACCCUUGUCUCAUUUCUCUCACACAAAGUAAAUGCCAACUAAUGGUCAGCCAAGUAAAUUCACACUUGUCCCUAAUACAGCCCACAAGAGACACAAGUGGAGGCAUGCAUGCAAGAGUAACCACGCAUGCAUGCCAGAUGUAAUGCGUCUCCAAACCGACAUAGCUGUUCACCCCACUUUAAAUAGGAGUCAUCCCUUUCACUGUGGCCACACACAAUCAUCCGCUAGAGAAACCCCUCUGCCUUUUCACCUUGCCUUUUCACUUUCUGCCACACUACUAUCCUCCACUGCUGUGAAGCUCUUUGGGUUGCAUGCGCCACCAGGUACUUAUCAAGUACCUUGUUGUGUUAGCCCUUCUUGCUUGACUUCUUAUCUAUCUCCACCUCGGUUUGAAUCAGUCCAUGAGCAUCUAUUCACCUUGAUCUAUUUAGCUUGCAGUAAAAAGAACAAAAUGUUUGCGUAAACACCCAAGUUAGUCAAAACUAAUUAGAUCAAUUGCAAAAGCUUGUAAAAGUUUCUAUGAAUGACAUCCGUGGCUUGUACUAGAUCUAACAUGCCAAGAAUCAAAUCCUAAUACUAGCAACUUGCUAAGACAUGUAUGUGUGUAUCCAAAAGAUCAACCUACCUGUGUAUACUACCUUGUCCUAAUUAUUAAUCCCUGCCAAUCUGUAGCAAACAUUGAGUGAUUGAUGUUUAUAAACUACUCGCAAGUAAUUAUUUUUGGAAUUUCACUGCCACUGUUUACUUCUAUAUGGUGUUCAAGGAUGAGUAGCACAAGUUAGGAAUAGCAUUUAGAUCUAAUCAGUAGCAAUACCAUGACCACACGAUAGAUUAAAUCUUGAUUAAUUUCAUGGCCUUGAGAUAAACAAAGCAAAAGAAGGCAACAUGGCUGAGAGGGGAAUAGUAGGGCCUGAGAUAAAAUGAACAAUAUAUGCACACCCACGUUCAUAUAUAGCAGGAACUUGUUGUGAAAUUUGGAGCACUUCAUGGAGAAGGAAUCAGGAUUAGUACUUACCAGUAGUAGCAGUAGGAUGUGGCUAGUCCACACCGUUAGCAGCAAAGCCAUGGCAACCGAGCAGCGCCGGUGAAGCCGCACGCGCCCGACGCUCGUGGCUGCACGCCUUGUGUGUGUGGCUGCGCUGGGGGGAGGAUGUAGGCAUGGAUACGUCGUUGCCGCUGCAGCCGGUGGCAAGCCCACCAGACCUGGAUCGAGCGGCGCUAGGAUUGAGUGGUGGCGGCGUUUUUGGUGGUGGCCGAUCAAAUAAAUAGGGGGAAAUGGUAGAGGGAGACGAGGGGAAUCUAUAGGUGUCCGCCGUGUCGCCGGAGAUGCCCGUACGGGGCAGAUCUAGGCGACGGCGGCCGUGCUCUGUUCUUGGGGGAGAGAGAGAGGUGAGCGGGCUGGUUCUGUUCGUGGGACAUCAGAGAAGUUGAGUAGUCUUUCUG
rnacentral:lncRNA from 1 species